rnacentral:rRNA from 1 species
AGUGAACGCUGGCGGCGUGCCUAAUACAUGCAAGUCGAACGAAGUGGCGCACGGGUGAGUAAUAUAUAGUUAAUCUGCCCUACACAGAGGAACAACAGUUGGAAACGACUGCUAAUACCUCAUAGUGUAGGAUGAGACUAUCACGUAUCAGCUAGUUGGUAAGGUAAUGGCUUACCAAGGGUAUGACGCGUAACUGGUAUGCGAGGAUGAUCAGGCACAUUGGAAGUGAGACACGGGCCAGACUCCUACGAGAGGCAGCAGUAAGGAAUAUUGCGCAAGGGGGGAAACCCAGACGCGGCAACGCCGCGUGAAGGACGAUAAGUGUGGGAGCGUAAAGUAAUUUUAUCAGGAAAGCGGUACCUGAAGAAUAAGCACCGGCUAACUCCGUGCCAGCAGCCGCGGUAAUAC